AGAGCAGUCAGUGCUCUAACCACUGAGCCAUCUCUACAGCCUGUUUUCUUAUUUCUUACAUAAGAUUUUAUUCUCCCAGUUGAAGUCAAGGGUCAUAAGUCUCUUGGAAUUCCUGUCUGCCCUGCUGAUUCGCACUAAAUAUAGUGCGAUUCACUGAAAAAUAUAGAUGAUCAAUAGCUCAAAGAGAAAGUGUUAAAUAUCCUUAGAAUGUUCAUUUGAGGUAAAAAGUUUGAAUGUAAGUGAUUGUCUGCACAGUGCUGUUGCACACAGAUUCAGAAAGUUCUUGUCUCCUUCCGUAAUCCUGGUGAACUCAACCCAAUUCAUUAUGAGUCUGCACUGAUAUCUGAUUUCUUGCUGACAGCCUGGAAAUCACUCACUGGUUAUUAAAUUCUGAGUACAGUGACAGAAAUAUGUAUGUUGAAGAGAAAGUAACACAAAUAGAUGGUGCGAUUGGCAGAUGCCAAGCUUGCUUCUUCCCACUCCUUUGUGAUCUUUACUUUUCGGAAGAUUGUUACGCAAUUCCCAACUUAUUCAGAAGAGCAACAGGAGUCCUGCUAGUUUUGUGAAUCAAAAGACAAGAAAUCCUAUCCCCUGGAAGGAAUAUACUAUCUGUGUGUACAGUAUGUAUAUAUUAUGUAUGGCGUGGCUAUAUAUGUUUAGGCUUGUUUGCACAUACCCAGGCACAUGUGGAGGCCAGAUGUUGAUGUCUGCCUCAAUCAUCCUCAUUAUAUUGAGGGUGGGCUUCUCACUUGAACUCAGCUUAUCAAUUUGGCUAAGAGGGCUAGCUAGCUUGCUUGCUUCUGGGACAGCCUGUUUUCACCUCUGAGAGCUAGGAUUACAAGGGGACUGUCACACUCAUCCCACGUGUACAUGGGUUCUUGCAAUCAACAGUGUGUAGAGGAAGUUUGAUCCAACAACAUGGCUACUCUGAUCACAUCCAAAGACCUUUGAGGUCUUUGUGAUCCAGCUGGAAUGCAGACAAGUCCUUAGUACACAACUUUUUCUCCUCUUCCUCUUUCAGCCCGCUCAUCUGAAUAGAAGGGAAUUUGUUUUUGUGCAGAUUGAACAAUUGGAUUCUACAUUUUCAAUACUUGGUAUGUAAGAAAAUGUCACUCUCCUAGGUCCUGGAAACUACAGGUGGCUUUCAAGGAAACUUCCUUUACAUGAAUUAAUUCUCAUGUGUUAAUCACACAUUACAACACCCAGUUUCUCCAAGUGAGCUCCUGAAAGUGACCAUUAAGAAAAGGAGGGAUGAUGGCCUAGAUCCCUCUCUCUGUAAUACACACCUAGUAACAGGCUAGAGGCGGAUGAGAUUAUUAUUAUUAUGAUGAUGAUGUCUGAAUCUAGAUAAGCCUCUCUACUGCUGUCUGCUGUUCCUGAUGAAGAAGGCUUGGACACGCCCAUGUAUUCGGCAGAGUGUUGGUUAGAUGACCAGAUUAAUAGCUGGGCAGUAGAUACAAGCACUGCACUGAGCAGGGACACUCUGUGCCCUGGACUUGUUACUCAUGUGAAGACCAGGUUGGUCAGGCCAGUACUGGACAUGAUCAGGGGCUUGAGAGAAACCAAAAGUCACAAGUCUGAGGAAGUGGCUUAUCAUUCCUGAAGACCCUUCCCAGCUUUAUAGAAGAGGUGGGGCACUGCUGGGUGAGGCCACUGAGCAGUCCAGCUGCAGAGAGAGGACUCUCUGACCGUGGGGCUGCUGCAACUUCUGCAAACCAUCGACAUGCUAGGGUGAGCUUUUCAGACGGUGUUGUUAGCCAUCCUUGUUCCUAUAAGUCACCCUCAUGAGUAUUUCUGUUAGUAGCCCAGUAAAACUUCACAGUAGUUGGUCUUUGUUCUGUAAUGGGUUCCUAUGUGAGAUGUGUAGAUGUUUAUGCAUGUGUGCAUUCGUAUGUAUGUGUGUGCAUGUAUGCAUAGAUGUGGGCACAUAUGAGAGCAUGUUGGAGAGUGCAUAUGUCUGUGUGUAUGUGUGUGUGUGUGUGUGUGUGUAUUUAUAUGUAUGUGUACGGGUGCAUGUGUGUGUACAUGUGCAUGUGUGUUGUUGCUAUCCAUGAAAAGUCUGACAUACAACAAAAGAAUUUCUGUCUUUGCUCCCAGCUCCAUAGUGAUAUUUAUGUGCACUCGUUCUCUCAACUGUGUCUGAGAAAAUGUUCAUGGCACUAUCUUUUCUAGGAGCAAAACAUUCAGAAGAAAGGCUUAAACUCUUGAAGGAAAAUGAGCUUUCUGAGGUGCACAAUCACAGAUGAUCAGUUUGAUUGCAGCCCUUCUCAAAGUAAUAGCAGCCCUUGUCUUUUGACAUAAGACACAUCACUGAUUCACUGCCAACGAAAUUAUGUGCAAGUAAUUUUAUUAAAAAGGAAUCUUAAUGUACAAGGAUGCAGUCAAACAUAUGCUUACAUUUUAUUUCUCAUAAGGAAUAAAUAAGGCAUUUACUAGCUAACGAGUCAUUUAACUUGAUAAACAUGCAUUAAGCAUCUAUUUCAACAAGUUCAAAGAAAAACAAAAAUGUAUGAGUUGUAUCUAGAGAAAGACCGAGUUCUGCUCGGUAAAUUGGCUCUAUAUAAUAAUUAAUGUACAGACCUGGCUGUAUGCCACCUAAGUAACAUAAUAUGCCUACAAUAACCAAUGACUUUGUGAGGGAGAGAUUUUGACAGAGAUUGGAAUAUUAGGCAUAAUGUGGAGAUGUGUAUUUCAUAUGCUAAUAGAAGGGGCGAUCCAAAGUAACAAAUAAAGUUAGGGUCCUAGCGGGGACCUGGAAAGGGCUCUCGCUUGUGUCGGACAAACUCAAAUCUUUGGGAAAUAAAGACAGGAAAAUCCCAUUUUAAAAUGAAGCUUCAAAGCUAUUGAAAACUUGAAAACCAGGCUUUUGAUGUACAGUUCAUUCUCAAUUAAAGCUAAAAAUACUCCUGAAAGAGCAGAAGUCGUAAGAGGGCUUAGAUAACUCUUAUGUGGAAUUAGUGGGGUGGAAGGAGAACUAAUAGGAAAAUCUCAUCCCUCUCUGGAAAACACUUCGAUACGUGGAGAAAUUCUGAACCUGGAAGAGCCAUCUUCUCGGGUCUCCAGCCAUCUGUGCGGUGAGCAGGGAGGGCCAAGCCUGGCAGCUUGCAGGCAGUGACAGGUGUCUCAGCCACCUGGCCCCUCUGGGGAGAACAGGACUCAGGGCUGCAUUGGUGAGUUUGUUAAACACAAGACAUUAUCUGCAAAUGGACCUGAGGAUCCAAGGCACUCUGGCUGACAAGCAGAGAGGUGCGAGAGGCCAGAAGCUGUUACAGGGCCAAUCCUCUCCGCCCAUCAGUAUCCCAUUCAAUACUAAGGGGCAAUGCCAGCAAGUUUCCAUUUGCUAAUGCAAUUCUUUGAAGAUCAUGUUUACUAAUGAGGUAUAUUUAGACUUGGGAAUUUAUUACAAGACUUUUUAUAUCACGUGCUGAGUUUGACUGAUGAGCAUCUACUCCCCUUAGGCACACACUGGUUAUGCUUGAUAUAACUAUAUAACUUAAUAUAGGGCUAAAAAUAAAAGGGACAAGGAAUGACCAUUGCGUGCUCUUGGACUUUCAGACCUCUGCGCUAGGAUCCUUUCCCCGAAGCAAUUGUGAGUCAGGAGAGGAGCGGGUUCUACCGACCUGUGUUGAAAUCUGUUUCGUUUUAACAAGAAACUGUGAUUAAAGCGAUUAGAAAGAAAGAAUGCAGAGAAGAAGAAAGUGCACUUGAGAGCUAGCCUCAAAUGGUGAGCAAGAGAGUUACUAUGUGUCAUAGUUCUGUCAGAAUUUGAUAGAUAAUUUUCCUGACGUGAACAUUUGAGUAUUGUGACCCAAAGUUUCAACCAGGAAUCUAUGGACUGAUUCUCACACUACAUAAUGUCUAUAUGUUAAUUCAAUGUCUCAAAAAUGUGCUGUUUUUAUAUACCAGUGAGCUCCAUUAAUAAGAGUAUUUUAUUUCUCUUUCCUUGUUCAGGGGAUAUAAAUAUGACUUAAAGGUCUUGGGUACUUUAUUUGUAAACGGGGUAUGUAAAACGUUUCUUUUUCCAAAGUUGAGAGAACCAUUGCCAUAGGUCGUAGCUAGUAUGUCUUCAUAAGACUGAGUGAGAAAUUUUAUCUGUUUUUUUAGUCACCCCUAUCAGUAGAAUCACUUUCAGCACUAAUGACUGAUACUAUAUAGAUAAAAAUAAAUAAGUGAACAUUCACUCCAGGGAGCCAUAGCCCUUUAGCUGUAGUAUAGAGUAGCUCUGAGUAUCAGCACACAAUCCUGCCUUCUCUCUCUGCAUAUGUUCUCAUACGGUGUCCCCACGGUGCAGAGAAAACUGGUCAGAUAGAGCAUGCUCAGUUGGAGAACACUGACUAUUACUAAUCUGACAGCAGAGUGGAAAUCGUGUUUCUUUUGCAUUUUAGAAUUUAGAGAUUAGCUUUGUAAUACUAUAUUGUCUUUAAAAAUAAGUAUUUUGAAAUAACCCCUUAUGACAACAUCAAAGAAGUCACUUGUGGGUUAAUUAUCUCUCACACAUUUAAAAAUUACCCUGCAUUUUGUGGGACAGAUGCAACAGACUUUUUUGUUGUUUUGUUGUUUUCUUUUUUAAACGUAGUAGUAGGCAAUGGACAUAUUUCCAGGGUAAGCUCUCAGCUCCAGGCAGGAAGCAUACAUCCUGACAUCCAGCAGAGAAAACAGGACUAGAAGCCUGCAUUUGCUGGCAAGGAAAAGAAGUGAACUGCAUACUGCUCUUUCUAAUUGACUCAAACACACCUCAUUACUUACAGAUAGGAACUCAUUCUAUGAUACCCCCUUACGGUUUUCAUUAGAAAAGUUAAGCACCUCAAGAUUCCUCUCUAAACUUCUAGCCAGUCUUUACUGGGCUAGAAAUGGCAUUUAUUGAGGAACAUGUGGUCGGACUCACCUUUAGAACAGAUAAUCUUGCACAUUUAAAUUGAUGCCCAGGACCAGAUGUGAAAGACAGAACUAGAAAACUGGAUUUGCUGAAAACCAGAAGCUACGUUUUAAUUUCCGAGGAUGCAAAGAAAAGGAAUGACCAAGGUUGAGAUGGAGAAUUAUGACAACACAGUAGCAGAAAUAACAAAAAUGUGCCCUUCACUUUGCUCCUCUCUGGUGGCAGCCUCCCUGCCUUCACUGGCGUCUACAGUAUACACUAGGAGUUUAGUUACAUUUUUUUGUCUGCUGCGAUGAAGAAAAGGAGAAACACAUUUUGGCUUCUGCUAAAGAGAAGUUAAAGGACAUGCCCUACAGAACCAGGAGACGAGUAAGAUUUGAUGGAUGCAGAAAGCUGGAAAUAAAGAUACAUGUGAGAAUACUUCCCAUCCUCCAUCACACUUUCUGACAUUUCCCAAGGGCUCAGAGUACAUUUUCAGUCACAUAAUGGUAUUGAAUUAAGUAACGGGGAAAUAUAGGUAACAUUGAAGUUACAAGAAAUCCUUUUCUUAUUCAAUUAAAUCUAAUCUACUAAAUCCAGAGCCAUAUAUUUGCUGUGCUGUAACUUUGUGUUUGUGAAGCAGAGACUAGCUAUAAAUUGUCUCUGCACCUUUUCUUCAUGGUGUUGGCUGUAAUUUCUUUGCUUUAAUAGAUGAGAAGACCGUCAGAGGAAAUGGACUCGAGCCCCUUGGUCCAGCUGCAAGCUUUACCCCGAUCUGUGAGUCUCCAGCACUGAGGAAAGUGUUUUAUAAUGUUUCCCAAAUCUUAAAGCCAGGAGGGCAUACCAGGAAAUACUUAUGUAUUGAUUUUUGUUAAUUUUGAAGAUAAAUUCACUUCAUAACAAUUAAAUUUACUUUCUCAACAGAGAUAAACGUAACAGAAAAAUCAGUAGACAUAAUCUCACAUUAUCAAUAUAUCAUCAAUAUAGACCUCUGGAACAUGUUUAAUACAAUUAAACAUUUUAGGACUUUAGACUUACUAUGAAAAAUUGUGAGAAUCAUCAUUUUUUUUUCAGGUAAGCUUCAUGGCUUUAACAGACCUCUGUGUAUCUUCGUCUGCUAGUGGAGUAUUUGUCAUUAAGUCAUUAAUGCUUAUUAAAUACUCGAUAAUAGUAAAUUUUGCUUAAAUUGGAUAGGAUAUGUAUAAUAUUACAAUGUAUAAUUUCUACCCUGUAAAGUGGAUUAGCACCUGGUAAAAACUGAAUAAGGAACUGAAUUUACAAUGACCAUGUGAAAGACCAAGAGGACGUUUCUGGAUUUACGUCUGUGUUCACAGCAUUAUUUCAUAUAUUUAUUACUAUGUUUAAAGAAAACUCAGCUCCUCUCUGACCCUCAUAGAGCAGAAUACAGCACAAGCUUGGAUUUUGGUUAAGUGUAGAGUCAUUUUAAAGUCUGGAAAUGUUUUAGCAUUCCACGGGUCCGUGGCAGUUCUCAUGUUUCCUGUGAGACUGUAAUAGCAGAAGACAUCGCUCUUCGUAUCCUUCUGUAAUAGAGGUUGAGGAAAAAUGCAUUCGAUGUGAUCAGAGGGGUUGUUUAUUAAUCACCAGUGUGUCGUCGAAAACCUUGUCUAUUGUCACAGACUUGGAGCUAGCAAAAACAAAAACAAAACAAAACAAAACAAAACAAAACCGCCCCAUUUGCUUUGCCUGAGGUCUAUGAAAGUUUGAGUCCUUAGAAACAUGGGUGACAAAUUCCAGCAUCUCCUCCCCCACUUGGAUUUUUGAUACAGUGUGAGUUUUCAUUGCUUUUCCUUUAUCUACCAUUACUCCUUUUUCUUGAUAUCAAUCCGUCUUU
rnacentral:sRNA from 1 species